UACGUAGGGGGCAAGCGUUGUCCGGAAUCAUUGGGCGUAAAGCGCGUGUAGGCGGUCCGGUAAGUCCGCUGUGAAAGUCCAGGGCUCAACCCUGGGAUGCCGGUGGAUACUGUCGGACUAGAGUCGGAAGAGGCGAGUGGAAUUCCCGGUGUAGCGGUGAAAUGCGCAGAUAUCGGAGGAAGAACCUCUGGCGGCGAAAGGGCAGGG
rnacentral:rRNA from 1 species